AGUUCGUAUGACCUCAUAGAUGAAGAAGGAAAAGCACUCGGGAUCUUCUCUGCCGCCGAUCUGAAACCGCGAACCUGAAACGAAAGAUUCAAACAAAGUUAAGUUCUCUCAAACUAAUAGCAAAUUCAAUUUUGUCAACACGGAGUUGACGUGAAAUAUAAAGGAAUACUUAGCCUGAUAGGUGAAUAGGUUUUUUCCUCGGGACUGCAGACCGGGGGGAAGCUGAAAAGAAUGAAAAAAAAAAAUUCAAUGUAACUUGCGUAGGUCGAUUUAAAACCAGUAGGCAUGAAUUGUAGGAAAGAAGUACUUACCAAUGGUCCAAAACCACUUGAUCCUUGGAAUUUGAUCCAUGAUGGUCUCCAACUCAAAAGCAGAAUGGCAACAAAACCGACAAAUGAUUUGAAUAGCGGAGAUUCGUCGUUUUAGAGCUCAAAACUGAUUACUUUUCCUUGUAUCGAUUUGUUUUGAUUCGAAAGCAAGUUAGAUAGUGAGAAGGACAAUGAUUGACAGCUGGAAGGUAACUCACCUAUGUUGAGUUCGUGGAAGAAGUAGGGUAAAGAUCCAUGUAUCAGUCGCAAUCUUCGAUCGUCGACGAUGAGAAGGAAGAGCAGAAAUAAAUACUAAUCGAGCAUGUUAUUUUUUUAUGCCGGUUGAAAAGGCAAGUUUUGUUAUCUCCAUAGCGAAAAUAAACUAGUCAUUUUCGCAGCCGGUCGGAGGGAUAUUGUAACCGAUGGUUCCAAAUUUAGACUUGUGACUCCACCACAAAUUUACUUUCCCAAUUCCUUUUCCCGGAUUUUCCAUAAAUACGCCCUUUGGAACAAAAACCUCUUGUCGACAUUGGGGCACUCAUUUUCUGGAUUGGUGAGUGAGUGAGCUUGUCUCGCUCUCCUGUUACUGUCAAUGGUGAGUGGUUCUCUGAUUGAGUAGUUUGAGAUGGGGGGGGGCAAAACAUUACCUCGCCUUUUUCGUAUUCGUAGAUAGAGGGAGCGCACCACUAUGACGUAAUAGGGUGUGAUACAAAAGAUUGCACAAAUGGUCAACAAGUAAGAUAUGUUGAGCAUUUGGACCGAUUCAUAUAAAAACCCCAAGUUUUGGAGCAAAGAUCCUCUUUUUGCUGUGAAUACUGGAACGUAGUAGUAGUGCGCGCGCGUGUAGCAUUUAAUAGAAUUGAGGUUAGCGUUGAUAAUGCCUCAUUUUAGUGGAAUUAUUGUUAAUUAGUGUUUUCUCUCUUCUUUUAGUAGUGGUUAGUAAGGUUAGACAUGCAACAUUGAAGUUAAAAAGAACAGUUAGUAGUACAAAAAGUGUGUUAGUAGUACAAAAAAACACUUGGUUAGUAAGUUAAAAUGUUAAUAAUAUACCAAAACUAAUGUGUGUUAAAAUCUUAUAGUUGCUAAGUAUAAAUCAUGCGUCGAAACAAUCGUGUGAGAAAUAAUUCGUAAAAACCUACAAGAAAAGGUCCACACAUUGGGCCUUUUCUUUUUAUCUGUGGCCUUUUUGGCAGAACCACGACAGUUAGUGCGGAGUGCGCGUCCAUCUUGAAGUCCAGUCCAGCAGAAAGUAGAAGGGUGUAAACCGUUACUACUUUACACGGUUAGCGUCCCAAAACCGCCAUCUUGCCCUACCUUCAGGAUUCAUCAAGGCCAAUGAGUCCAACUUCGAUAAGCCAACCACAUUCUGCACAAGCCCGAUGAUGAGCGGACUGAUCACCCGCUCGUCGAUACCCGUCAAGCCGUUCAACCACCAACACACCAGCAGUUCUACAACAGCCCAUCAGAGCACAUCCAAAACCGCAAGUAAAACCACCCAAAAUGUGACGUCACAAUAAAUAAUUGUAAUAAUGAGA